rnacentral:rRNA from 1 species
GAGUUUAAUCGUGGCUCAGGAUGAACGCUGGCGGCGUGCCUAAUACAUGCAAGUCGAGCGAACUGAUUAGAAGCUUGCUUCUAUGACGUUAGCGGCGGACGGGUGAGUAACACGUGGGCAACCUGCCCUGUAAACGACUGGGAUAACCUUCGGGAAACCCGAAGCUAAUACCGGAUAGGAUCUUCUCCUUCAUGGGAGAUGAUUGAAAGAUGGUUUCGGCUAUCACUUACAGAUGGGCCCGCGGUGCAUUAGCUAGUUGGUGAGGUAACGGCUCACCAAGGCAACGAUGCAUAGCCGACCUGAGAGGGUGAUCGGCCACACCUGGGACUGAGACACGGCCCAGACUCCUACGGGA